rnacentral:other from 2 species
GGUUAUCUGCUGCGUGCGACAGGAGCGUUUAUCCCGCUGACCGUACAUCUCCACGAGGGAGCUGCCUCUGUUCGGGACCGUGGUCCCUUGCAAGCGGCGCCCACCUGAAUUGUCGGGUCCGUGGGGAUACACACGCACCACCGGCGCAAGUGGAGCCGUC